AUUGAACGCUGGCGGCAGGCCUAACACAUGCAAGUCGAACGAGUGGCGGACGGGUGAGUAAUGUCUGGGAAACUGACCGAUGGAGGGGGAUAACUACUGGAAACGGUAGCUAAUACCGCAUACCAUCGGAUGUGCCCAGAUGGGAUUAGCUAGUUGGUGGGGUAAAGGCCUACCAAGGCGACGAUCCGUAAAUGGUCUGAGAGGAUGAUCAGUCCCACUGGAACUGAGACACGUUCCAGACUCCUACGGGAGGCAGCAGUGGGGAAUAUUGGACUAUUGGCGCAAGCCUGAUCCAGCCAUGCCGCGUGUAUGAAGAAGGUCUUCGGAUUUUAAAGCACUUUAAGUUGGGAGGCGUUACCAACAGAAUAAGCACCGGCUAACUUCGUGCCAGCCGCCGCGGUAAUAC
rnacentral:rRNA from 1 species